GACGAACGCUGGCGGCGUGCCUAACACAUGCAAGUCGAGCGAGGAACUUCGGUUCCUAGCGGCGGACGGGUGAGUAACACGUGGGUAACCUGGCUCAUAGAGGGGGAUAGCCUUCCGAAAGGGAGAUUAAUACCGCAUAAGAAGCGAAAGUCGCAUGGCUUUAGCUUUAAAGGAGUAAUCCGCUAUGAGAUGGGCCCGCGGCGCAUUAGCUAGUUGGUGAGGUAAAGGCUCACCAAGGCGACGAUGCGUAGCCGACCUGAGAGGUGAUCGGCCACAUUGGAACUGAGACACGGUCCAGACUCCUACGGGAGGCAG
rnacentral:rRNA from 1 species